UUGCUCACUUUGAUAGUACAGGUACUAAAAUUGGAAUGAUACAGAGAAGAUUAGCAUGGCCUCUGGGCAAGGAUGACAGGUAAUUUGUGAAACAGUCCAUAUUUUU
rnacentral:snRNA from 1 species